GGGAGGUGUACGGGAGGGCAGACCCGGGAUUGCCACCCUCACCCCUUUUCCGUGACCGCGUUUCUGCCAAGCGCCCCAGGCCGGGAGGAGAGCCGGGCACAGGCGACAGCCUCCGAGAGUUUACGCCGGCUGGUCCGGGAAGGGUUCGCUGAGUCCAAUUAAAUCCCCACGUUCUUUCCUUCUUGAGCCCACUCCAUCUCGGACUGGCUCCAACUGGGACCCUCCGGCUUUCUGAAGAAGUUUAUCCAGCUCUACAAGCUAGGCG
rnacentral:lncRNA from 1 species